rnacentral:sRNA from 1 species
AGGCUUCUACUCCAUAUGCACUAUCUAUGGAUUUAGGCAUGUAUGUUUAUGCAGGGGUUGCGAGGAAGCGCAUUCACAAAUACUUGAAUUUGCUGCUCCUUCAUUUACCAAAUCUUGUUUCUAAACCAUAACUAACUUGCAAAGCUCCGACGUUACCGGCAAAACCGUUCCUUCAAUUUGUGGCUGUACCAACAGAAGAUUCCAUGGACGUUCUAUUUUUACAGCACGGGUUUCCAACAGGCGAUUCGUUGUGUCUCCUCUAGAUAUGGCGCUCCGUUACGAUCACCUUUGCUCUGCUAUGGGUGAUGAAUGCGAUGCAUAUAUUUUCACCUCCUUGAUCCUGGACCUGGCAUUCCAGCCAAGAAAUCGAUUCUAUCUCCGACGCUGACCAUGAAAAACCCGAUCUACGCCGACUGUAUCCGGGCGCAUUCAAAAGAGGGAGAUUCAGGUUGAAAUAUAUCCCUUCGAAUGGAACGACCGGUUUUCUUUUAUAAAAAAGGGGACGUUCUUUCUAUUGCCUUUUUAGCUCAAGGAAUGGUAUCUAGAUUUUGGAGACGGUGGGCUGGUGCUGGUUGAGGAUUUCAGCAACUAAAAAAGUUCCACCUCGCCACCUCGCUGUAUCUGUCGUUUGAUUUCACCCACACAACCUGAAAGCACCAGAAAAUCAGUUCAGAGGAAAGCAAACUCGAAGGGCUCUGGGUGAGUGGCACAUUCCAAGUGAGACUGUAUCGGCCAAGCGCCCAAACUUAGUAAGGUUGUGAAGAGGCAACGGUCAAGGGCAUGAGUAUGGUCACAAGCAGGACAGAAAAUGAGUUAGAAAUACUAGGCAGAGGAGUACAAUAAAUGUCUACUAUUAAACAAAACUCCCCAAGGGCCGGAGCAACGACAACCUGUUCAAGUUCCAUCUAAUUCCCCCUGGAUGGGCGAGAAGAAAUUGACGGUCGAGUUAUAGGCUACCACCACAACCCUCUUACAUGUCCCAUAUAUUUGACUAUUAUUAUGCGCAUACACUACCCCCCGAGUGUUGUCGACUACGAGCUAAAUAUUCUGGGUGUCAGUGACCUUGAUUCAACAAGAGACGGUAUUGACCGCACUGUCGCAAACCGAAGCUCCAUCCCAUGAUCUAUGGAAGAACAUAUAUAUAUAUAUAUAUAUUCAAGCAGCCAGCCCCCAAAAAUUUCCCGCGGGUGAUAGGGCGCGGAGAGCGGAACAGAGGCCAAAGCAUGGCCGGUUUCAAUUCAAGAAGCAAAGUUCAAGCCGUCGACAAUAUAUGAUGAGCUGCAGCUGUCCUCUCCUCCAGAGACAGCUUCUUGAUAUGAACGACCCUCUCAUGCAGGGAGGUCUCCGGAUUGCAGGCAAGGCAGUUUGAAAUAUCCCGAAAAGAACAGAAACCAUCCCGGCGGCUCCGCAAUCUAAUUGUCUUCUGCAAGGGACACUUCUAAGGGCCAGAGCUUGACAUUUGCUUGUCAUAUGGAAUCGGAUGGCGACGAUUACAUCGAUCGCCUCGCACUAUUAUUGUUAUUGUUAUUACUUUCUUGCAUAUAUCUCAAGGUAACCACUUUCUUCAGCCGACGUCUAUGCCAGCUGCUUCAAACAUAG